UUCUUCACAAGCUUUGAACAAGAGGUUCUGCGUUUCCACUUUGCACUCGGCCCUGUAAAUUAUGCAGCAGGUUUCCAUGAAGGGCUACAGCUUUAUUUGGAGCUGGAAGAGCAGAGGUCAGCCUCAGGAAGGAGACCUGAAUGAGGGUCACUGUCGUCGCAACCUCAUGCGGGAGCAUUGACUGCCAACGGAAAGAGCUUAAGAGGGUUUCGCCAUUGCAGCCGGGCAUCUUCAGUAACAGCCAGGGGAGAAAUGUUGAUCUCAGUGAGGGGACUGUAAGGCUCGGAGGAACAUCUGAGGGAAGAGGUUCAGAAGACACCCCGGUGUGAGCUGGUGAUGGAAGUCAGCCUUAGCUCUCUAUUUCCUUGUUUUCAUUAGCUUGGGUUACACACCGAGACUUUUUUGAAUGCCCUUUUUGGGAGCAUGAAAUUGAUGCCUGAGAAUAAAACAUAAGUACCUCGGGUAUUUCAGUCAAGACAGAGAAAUGCAAAGUUGAGACUCUCAGGACAGACUCUGGGAGACCCACGUUACUGCACCUUUAUUGUCACCUGCAUUUUCACGGCAACCUUGGGAUCUGCCUGUGGCCAGCAGAGCUUGAGAUCCAUAUCUGGAAUUUGUCAGGAUCAUUUCAUGUGUCAGCAGGGGAGGAGCUGCCUGAGACCCAAUAUAAAGGAUGCACCGUUCUGAUGGGAUGUGAUAGCUGUUUUUUUCCAUUUCAAUUGAGGUCAAAAAGUUGAGUAUUGGCAUCUUCACCUGGUUCAAACAAACAGAGCUACCUUCAUCUAAAAAUACAUUUCAAAUUGUUACCUAAAAAUAGAAAUAUUGGGUUUGUGUAUAUACUGCUGUGAGCCAUUGGCCUGAAUAGACUGCUUUCAACAUGGAGGUUUGGACUAUUUUCCAAACAUUAGCUAUUCAAAAGCUCUCCCUCAAAGAAUGAGAAGACUAUUUAUUGGAAGCAUAAAUGAAGAAAGAAAAGACUUCAAUUUAUGAAGCCAUUAGUCUUCAGGGAGACAUUUUAAAGACUGCAAUUAAGGAGAACGCCUCACCACAAACUGCUGGAGAGACUCUCCCUUCAACUUCUGAAGAGCUUCGUCACUCGGGGUGAAAGGGCUCUUCCCCAGUGAUGAGUCAUGACUUUUCUUGGAUUGGCUCUGGGAAGGAUGAUCAUCACAUGAUGUGUGUCUCUAACCAGCUGAGCAACUGUGUCCUUCCUCACAGAGGGUCCUUCCUCUCCUCUCUCUCAACGUGAGCUGCUAAGGCUUCCUGCUUCUCUGCCUCUUUCUCAUCCCAUCAAAAAGAUGCCCGUUGGGGGCACCAUUCCAUCCAGUGCCCGCUUCCUAAGACAGCCGCUAAGACCUGAAACUGAUUCCAGCUGAUGCGAUACAAGUCAGAUCCCUGAUUCAAAUCCAACCCGAAAAGACUCAGAGAGGGCUUCUGAAGCUUCUGCCAAAAAAGGAGUGAAAACUGCACAGAAACCCCUUUGCCCUUGCAGUUCAGUCCUGCAGACGUCUGACUUGAGCCACUAUAAUGUCAUUUUCACAUAGAAUUAAAUGCUUUUACAUACCGGUGGGGACACAUCUCCCUUCUUAAUGUUCUCUUUUAUCCCAUUAAUGAAAGCCCAUUUUUUACAAGCACAUGAAAAGCAUGAGUAAGUCAUAUAAAAAUUUUAAGCUAAAAAUGAGUAUUCCAUUUAACAUAAGUACCGCGUGCUAACUGAUUGCGCCACUGGAACUUCUCCAUUUAAUAUAGAA